UACGAAGGGGGCUAGCGUUGCUCGGAAUUACUGGGCGUAAAGCGUGCGUAGGCGGCGCGGUAAGUCGGGUGUGAAAUCUUGGAGCUUAACUCCGAACUGCAUUCGAUACUGCCGUGCUUGAGGACUGGAGAGGAGACUGGAAUUUACGGUGUAGCGGUGAAAUGCGUAGAUAUCGUAAGGAAGACCAGUGGCGAAGGCGGGUCUCUGGACAGUUCCUGACGCUGAGGCACGAAGGCCAGGGAGCAAACGGG
rnacentral:rRNA from 1 species